UAAUCUUGGAGAAAUUAGUGAACCUUUCAGAUAACUUAUGAUGGUCAGAGAGGUUAAUCCUAAGAACAGUUACAUGAGCUUGGAAGGAGACCCUUCCCCAGCUGAGCCUUAGCCUGGACCAUCACCUACAUCUGGACUGAAGACCUAGAGAAACAGCUCUAUCAGGAAUCACUUGGGACUGUGCAUUCUGUUGACACUCACUUUGUGGAAUUAAGUUGCCCACUGCCAACCCUAAAGCCACCAAGGUAGCAGGUGAGGUCUUGUUCUUUUGGCCAGGCUAUGAAAUAAUUUCCUAUUGAAGUCAUCUUAACAUGGAACCAGAAUU
rnacentral:lncRNA from 10 species